AACGAACGCUGGCGGCAUGCCUAACACAUGCAAGUCGAACGAGACCUUCGGGUCUAGUGGCGCACGGGUGCGUAACGCGUGGGAAUCUACCCUUGGGUUCGGAAUAACAGUUAGAAAUGACUGCUAAUACCGGAUGAUGACGUAAGUCCAAAGAUUUAUCGCCCAAGGAUGAGCCCGCGUAAGAUUAGCUUGUUGGAGGGGUAAUGGCCUACCAAGGCGACGAUCUUUAGCUGGUCUGAGAGGAUGAUCAGCCACACUGGGACUGAGACACGGCCCAGACUAGUACGGGAGGCAGCAGUGGGGAAUAUUGGACAAUGGGCGAAAGCCUGAUCCAGCAAUGCCGCGUGAGUGAUGAAGGCCUUAGGGUUGUAAAGCUCUUUUACCAGGGAUGAUAAUGACAGUACCUGGAGAAUAAGCUCCGGCUAACUCCGUGCCAGCCGCCGCGGUAA
rnacentral:rRNA from 1 species